rnacentral:rRNA from 1 species
GCUGGCGGCAUGCCUAACACAAGCAAGUCGAACGGUAACAGGAGAGAGCUUGCUCUCUUGCUGACGAGUGGCGGACGGGUGAGGAAUACUUAGGAAUCUGCCCAUUAGUGGGGGACAACUCCGGGAAACCGGAGCUAAUACCGCAUACGCCCUACGGGGGAAAGCAGGGGAUCUUUCGGGACCUUGCGCUAUUGGAUGAGCCUAAGUCAGAUUAGCUUGCUGGUGGGGUAAUGGCCUACCAAGGCAACGAUCUGUAGCUGGUCUGAGAGGAUGAUCAGCCACACUGGGACUGAGACACGGCCCAGACUCCUACGGGAGGCAGCAGUGGGGAAUAUUGGACAAUGGGCGAAAGCCUGAUCCAGCAAUGCCGCGUGUGUGAAGAAGGCCUGCGGGUUGUAAAGCACUUUCAGUAUCGAGGAAAAGCUUAAGGUUAAUAACCUUGAGUCUUGACGUUAACUACAGAAGAAGCACCGGCUAACUCUGUGCCAGCAGCCGCGGUAAUACAGAGGGUGCAAGCGUUAAUCGGAAUUACUGGGCGUAAAGCGCGCGUAGGCGGUUUGAUCAGUCGGAUGUGAAAGCCCUGGGCUCAACCUGGGAACUGCAUUCGAAACUGUCAAGCUAGAGUAUGGUAGAGGAUAGUGGAAUUCCUGGUGUAGCGGUGAAAUGCGUAGAUAUCAGGAGGAACAUCAGUGGCGAAGGCGACUGUCUGGACCAAUACUGACGCUGAGGUGCGAAAGCGUGGAGAGCAAACAGGAUUAGAUACCCUGGUAGUCCACGCCGUAAACGAUGUCAACUGGGUGUUGGGGAGCUUGACUCCUUAGUAUCGAAGCUAACGCGAUAAGUUGACCGCCUGGGGAGUACGGCCGCAAGGUUAAAACUCAAAUGAAUUGACGGGGGCCCGCACAAGCGGUGGAGCAUGUGGUUUAAUUCGAUGCAACGCGAAGAACCUUACCUGGCCUUGACAUGUAGCGAACUUUCCAGAGAUGGAUUGGUGCCUUCGGGAACGCUAACACAGGUGCUGCAUGGCUGUCGUCGUCUCGUGUCGUGAGAUGUUGGGUUAAGUCCCGCAACGAGCGCAACCCUUGUCCUUAGUUGCCAGCACGUAAUGGUGGGAACUCUAAGGAGACUGCCGGUGACAAACCGGAGGAAGGUGGGGAUGACGUCAAGUCAUCAUGGCCCUUAUGGCCAGGGCUACACACGUGCUACAAUGGCCGGUACAGAGGGUUGCCAACCCGCGAGGGGGAGCUAAUCCCAGAAAACCGGUCGUAGUCCGGAUUGGAGUCUGCAACUCGACUCCAUGAAGUCGGAAUCGCUAGUAAUCGCGAAUCAGAAUGUCGCGGUGAAUACGUUCCCGGGCCUUGUACACACCGCCCGUCACACCAUGGGAGUGGGUUGCAAAAGAAGUGGGUAGUCUAACCUUCGGGAGGACGCUCACCACUUUGUGAUUCAUGACUGGGGUGAAGUCGUAACAAGGUA